UACGGAGGGGGCUAGCGUUGUUCGGAAUUACUGGGCGUAAAGCGCGCGUAGGCGGCUUUGUAAGUUAGAGGUGAAAGCCCGGAGCUCAACUCCGGAACUGCCUUUAAGACUGCAUCGCUAGAAUUGUGGAGAGGUGAGUGGAAUUCCGAGUGUAGAGGUGAAAUUCGUAGAUAUUGGGAAGAACACCGGUGGCGAAGGCGGCUAUCUGGACCGACAUUGACGCUGAGGCGCGAAAGCGUGGGGAGCAAACAGG
rnacentral:rRNA from 1 species